rnacentral:rRNA from 1 species
GCCGGCGACCGGCGCACGGUGGAGUAACACGUAUGCGACCUGCCCCCGCAGGGGGAUAACCGGGAGAAAUCCCGACUAAUACCGCGUAACGCCGCGGACCUGCAUGGGUCUGCGGCCAAAGGAAGCGAUUCCGGCGGGGGAUGGGCAUGCGGCGCAUUAGCUAGUCGGCGGGGUAACGGCCCACCGAGGCGACGAUGCGUAGGGGUUCUGAGAGGAAGGUCCCCCACACUGGUACUGAGACACGGACCAGACUCCUACGGGAGGCAGCAG